UGUGUCCCCUGUUGUAUAGUUUAAAACUACUGCACAAUGUCUUUGUGCACCAAAUACCGGCGAGAUGGCACCGUGUAGAAAAGUCCAAACAGUGUCUGUGAGUUAAAAUGCCCGCCAUCCAUUGUUCUCACCAUGUGCUUCAUCCAUUGUUCUCACCAUGUGCCUCUGAUACAUGAAAUGGUGGCCACCCAGUAACUCCACAGUUUGUCUGGUAGUCUAUCCAGCCAGACCAACAGAUGAAACACAUGGGAAACAGUGCAACAAACGAAGGGAAUCAUAAAAAAUAUGGACAAUAGUCAUAUUUGUGCACAAUCUCCAGUUUUGUCACAGGGCACAAAUAGUGUUUUCAAAUGCCAUAUAUCCCAGGGCCAUAGUCAGAAGGUAGGAGGCGGGCAAGCAGCCCCCUCCAAGAACACGUGGUGAGGUCUGUUCCGCCACAACG